UUCACACUGUGAGUGUGUGUUUUCAUUUGGCUUUUCAUUGUCCAGGUUUGCUGACUUGGAACAGCAGGGAAUACUUUUUAUACACUUUCCUGAAGCGUGAUGUGAGAGUGUAGAAAUAUUUUACUUCUCCUAUGAGAAAAGCUGGAAUAACAGAAGAAUUUUUGCUGUGAUGUCCUCCAGUCGUCCUCUGCUGAAAUCUAAGCAAUCGUGCUGAGGUGCAGAAGACAAAAGUUUCCCAUCAAGUGUAUGAAGAGCAAGAAAACAGCAAACUUAAUAACUUGCACUCCUCAUUGCUCACAUUUCCUGAAGAUUGCUGAGAUCAAGAAAGCCGUCAAGUGCUCCUUUGCAUUCAUGCUGAUGUGUGUAAAUCAACAGAACUGUGCUCAGUUUUCCCAGGAGACUGACUUUGAGUGCACAGCAUUCAGAAAGGGGCAGUGCAUGUACUUGGCUGCACAGAAAGUGGAGGGAGAUGGUCACGUGUUCAUCAGUCAGUUUGCAAAGAAGAUUGCAUGCCAGGCCAAGGCCAUGUGAUGUAAUUCUUGGGUAUGACAUCUCCUCGUCAGUCAUAGAUGUGAGUAGAGUGAGUAGACAACCAUAUUCUUUUUAGUUUCUCCACCUUGAAGGGAGAAUAUCAGCAUCAUUUGAGUUACUUUUGAUACAAGUAUG
rnacentral:lncRNA from 1 species